rnacentral:rRNA from 1 species
AGAGUUUGAUCCUGGCUCAGAUUGAACGCUGGCGGCAGGCUUAACACAUGCAAGUCGAACGGUAGCAGGAGGAAGCUUGCUUUCUUGCUGACGAGUGGCGGACGGGUGAGUAAUGCUUGGGAAUCUGGCUUAUGGAGGGGGAUAACUACUGGAAACGGUAGCUAAUACCGCGUAAUAUCGAGAGAUUAAAGGGUGGGACUUUCGGGCCACCUGCCAUAAGAUGAGCCCAAGUGGGAUUAGGUAGUUGGUGGGGUAAAGGCCUACCAAGCCUGCGAUCUCUAGCUGGUCUGAGAGGAUGGCCAGCCACACUGGAACUGAGACACGGUCCAGACUCCUACGGGAGGCAGCAGUGGGGAAUAUUGCACAAUGGGGGGAACCCUGAUGCAGCCAUGCCGCGUGAAUGAAGAAGGCCUUCGGGUUGUAAAGUUCUUUCGGUGAUGAGGAAGGUGUUUUGUUUAAUAGACAAGGCAAUUGACGUUAGUCACAGAAAAAGCACCGGCUAACUCCGUGCCAGCAGCCGCGGUAAUACGGAGGGUGCGAGCGUUAAUCGGAAUAACUGGGCGUAAAGGGCACGCAGGCGGAUUGUUAAGUGAGAUGUGAAAGCCCCGAGCUUAACUUGGGAAUUGCAUUUCAGACUGGCAGUCUAGAGUAUUUUAGGGAGGGGUAGAAUUCCACGUGUAGCGGUGAAAUGCGUAGAGAUGUGGAGGAAUACCGAAGGCGAAGGCAGCCCCUUGGGAAUAUACUGACGCUCAUGUGCGAAAGCGUGGGGAGCAAACAGGAUUAGAUACCCUGGUAGUCCACGCUGUAAACGAUGUUGAUUUGGGGAUUGGGCUUUAAGCUUGGUGCCCGUAGCUAACGUGAUAAAUCAACCGCCUGGGGGAGUACGGCCGCAAGGUUAAAACUCAAAGGAAUUGACGG